CAAGAGAGUUCACUCAUCAGGUCAAAGUUGGUCUGUCCUGAUGGCACUACCUGCUGCUUGAUGAUGUCUAGUAGCCAUCGCUGCUGCCUUCAACGCGGUAGUCCUCACAAAUAAACUGAUAUCAAGAAUUAACAUAGAUGGUGAUGGCGGCAAGUGUGCCUUCAGAAGGUGCCACCCAGCAGUCCCAGCCUGCUUUUGCAAGUCCGAUGGGGGAUGAUCUAUGUUAAGGUCGUGUAAGCAAGAAGGCAAGUGCUGCUGCAGGCAAUGUUGCGAUAAGCCUGCAACAGAUAUAGCCGGCCUUCUAAAAUCCAAGAAUGAGGAAUGCCUGAAACAAGGAACAACUUGGCAGUGUAUGUGAACGUGUUUACCUGUGUGUGUAUGAGGGU